rnacentral:lncRNA from 1 species
UAGGUUGGAUAAUAUUUUUGAAAACGUGAUAGACCAAUGGCUAUGAUUAUUAGAAUCUACAGGAUUGAUGCCUGAAUGUUUCUAAUUUUUGUGAGAAUUUGUAGUAUUUAUCUUUUUUUUACUAGUACAUGUUGUGAGAAUUGAUAUAGAGUCUCCAAUUAAAAAUAUGAGGGCACAUAGAUAACGAUAAAAAUUUACCUUAAGCUUUAUCUAGUUUAUUAAAUAUUCUAAAAUAAUACUUAUAUAGGAAUAUACUUAUUAUCUUCAUUCGAUUGUGGUAGACUUUAGUUAGUAAUUACUCUAUAAAAUUUUAAUCUUCAUUUAUUUAGAAUCUUUCUUUUUUUCACUUUUCAUCGCAAGAACGUGCUUGAAUUUAUUGAAUGGACCCUAUGUUUGAUCUAUAUUUUUAACAUGAAAAUAUAUAUUCGUAUCACUUCCUCUAUAUAUUUAUAAAUAGUGACACAUAUCUUGUGUAUAUACCUUAAUUAUUACGUUCUAUAUAAACAAUGUAAGGAAUAGACAAUUUAUAAUCAUAUAUUGGAGUACCUUGGGGAUAUAUUUUAAUGAAUGUUAUUUGAAUUCAAAUUUAGGGUUACCUCAUGUUAUGUUUAAUAUUAGGAUAUGUGGGUAAUUUAUAUGCAAAUUUAAGGGGUUGCUUUAAGUUAUUUUUGUAAUGUUAGUCGUGG